ACACAUCUGAAAUAUCCUCUCGAUACAGGAAAGUUUCAACGAUCUCUUCGUGGACACCAUGACGCCUCUACGUUUCGCUGUUGUCUUCGUCCUCCUCUUUGGUGUAUCUGUCGCCAGUGAAGCUGCACCUGAAGGACACGAGCUUGAACGUCGUCAAAUUGACAUCGAGCUCUGCGUUUGUAUUCCGAUUGUUACCAAUUGCAAUGGCAAAUGUACAAGGAAAAGCAACUGCUUGGACUGCUACCUUGGAUGAACAACAUGGCUGACCGGCAACCUUUAACUACGAAAUGAUCAUUCGCACGUAUACGAAAUAAGAGACCCUGGUAUUCUCUUUUACCAACAUGAUCUUGGGUGGCGGGAACUUUUCGGGGAAAUAAAUUGUACUAAGCAGCA